UGCGAUGGGCCUCAUGGCACGCUAAACAGCUUUUGUAGAUUCACUCAUGGUCUGUAAUUUCAAAUAACAAAGCCAGAGGAGGUAAGAGAAGGCUUAAAAAGACGAGUCCUGUAAGGAGCCUGCCCAGCCUGGGCACAGAGCGGAUGCUCAACAGAUCUCUCUGCCUAGUCGGGUGACUCACUGAGAUGUGCCCCAACAGAACUGUUAGUAACAAAGCCGUGGGGGGAGGGCCUGGAGCUGGAGCCGAAGAGGCCUGUUAACUCUGGACUUGGAUUGUCCGAGGUUUCAGUCUGCCUCCACUUACACAAGUGUCUUCGCCUCAACGGCCUCAAACUUCACUGGCCUAAUGAGGGUAAUGACAGUACCAACCUCGGAGAAUUGCUGUUAGAAUUACGUGAGCUCAUUCUACGGAGAGCUCUUAGAACUCCCCUGGCCCGUGGUAAUCUCUCCAUAGGCACAGCGGCCGCUAUCAUCGGCUGGAGCACCGCAGACGAGCCUAGUUACAAGGAUGGAGGCUCCACUGAAAAAGACUGGAAGUCCCCGUUCUUCAGGAUUAAAGGGGAGGCACGCGUUGCCAGACUCCUGGACAGCUUGUAAGGGGCAUAUCUUGACCAGCAACAAAGUCUUCCCAGGAGAGGAGGAACUAUUGGCCCAGGUCACUUGCAUCUACAACUGGAUUGGUUCAUACACCGAUUUUUCCCUCUAAAAGGGAAACCUGAUUUCCAAGUUCUGGGAUAUAUAUAUGAC